rnacentral:rRNA from 1 species
AACGAACGCUGGCGGCAUGCCUAACACAUGCAAGUCGAACGAGAUCUUCGGGUCUAGUGGCGCACGGGUGCGUAACGCGUGGGAAUCUGCCCUUUGGUUCGGAAUAACAGUUGGAAACGACUGCUAAUACCGGAUGAUGACGAAAGUCCAAAGAUUUAUCGCCAGAGGAUGAGCCCGCGUAGGAUUAGCUAGUUGUUGUGGUAAAGGCGCACCAAGGCGACGAUCCUUAGCUGUUCUGAGAGGAUGAUCAGCCACACUGGGACUGAGACACAGCCCAGACUCCUGCGGGAUGCAGCAGUGGGGAAUAUUGUACAUUGGGAGAAAGCCUGAGCCAGCACUGCCGCGUGAGUGCUGACGGCCUUAGGGUUGUAAAGCUCUUUUACCCGGGAUGAGAAUGACAGUACCGGGAGAAUAAGCUCCGGCUAACUCCGUGCCAGCAGCCGCGGUAA